ACACUAUCAUUAACUGAAUCCAUAGGUUAAUGAGGCGAACCGGGGGAACUGAAACAUCUAAGUACCCCGAGGAAAAGAAAUCAACCGAGAUUCCCCCAGUAGCGGCGAGCGAACGGGGAGGAGCCCAGAGCCUGAAUCAGUGUGUGUGUUAGUGGAAGCGUCUGGAAAGGCGCGCGAUACAGGGUGACAGCCCCGUACACAAAAAUGCACAUACUGUGAGCUCGAUGAGUAGGGCGGGACACGUGGUAUCCUGUCUGAAUAUGGGGGGACCAUCCUCCAAGGCUAAAUACUCCUGACUGACCGAUAGUGAACCAGUACCGUGAGGGAAAGGCGAAAAGAACCCCGGCGAGGGGAGUGAAAAAGAACCUGAAACCGUGUACGUACAAGCAGUGGGAGCCUCUUAAUGGGGUGACUGCGUACCUUUUGUAUAAUGGGUCAGCGACUUAUAUUCUGUAGCAAGGUUAACCGAAUAGGGGAGCCGAAGGGAAACCGAGUCUUAACUGGGCGUUAAGUUGCAGGGUAUAGACCCGAAACCCGGUGAUCUAGCCAUGGGCAGGUUGAAGGUUGGGUAACACUAACUGGAGGACCGAACCGACUAAUGUUGAAAAAUUAGCGGAUGACUUGUGGCUGGGGGUGAAAGGCCAAUCAAACCGGGAGAUAGCUGGUUCUCCCCGAAAGCUAUUUAGGUAGCGCCUCGUGAAUUCAUCUCCGGGGGUAGAGCACUGUUUCGGCAAGGGGGUCAUCCCGACUUACCAACCCGAUGCAAACUGCGAAUACCGGAGAAUGUUAUCACGGGAGACACACGGCGGGUGCUAACGUCCGUCGUGAAGAGGGAAACAACCCAGACCGCCAGCUAAGGUCCCAAAGUCAUGGUUAAGUGGGAAACGAUGUGGGAAGGCCCAGACAGCCAGGAUGUUGGCUUAGAAGCAGCCAUCAUUUAAAGAAAGCGUAAUAGCUCACUGGUCGAGUCGGCCUGCGCGGAAGAUGUAACGGGGCUAAACCAUGCACCGAAGCUGCGGCAGCGACGCUUAUGCGUUGUUGGGUAGGGGAGCGUUCUGUAAGCCUGUGAAGGUGUACUGUGAGGUAUGCUGGAGGUAUCAGAAGUGCGAAUGCUGACAUAAGUAACGAUAAAGCGGGUGAAAAGCCCGCUCGCCGGAAGACCAAGGGUUCCUGUCCAACGUUAAUCGGGGCAGGGUGAGUCGACCCCUAAGGCGAGGCCGAAAGGCGUAGUCGAUGGGAAACAGGUUAAUAUUCCUGUACUUGGUGUUACUGCGAAGGGGGGACGGAGAAGGCUAUGUUGGCCGGGCGACGGUUGUCCCGGUUUAAGCGUGUAGGCUGGUUUUCCAGGCAAAUCCGGAAAACCAAGGCUGAGGCGUGAUGACGAGGCACUACGGUGCUGAAGCGACAAAUGCCCUGCUUCCAGGAAAAGCCUCUAAGCAUCAGGUAACAUUAAAUCGUACCCCAAACCGACACAGGUGGUCAGGUAGAGAAUACCAAGGCGCUUGAGAGAACUCGGGUGAAGGAACUAGGCAAAAUGGUGCCGUAACUUCGGGAGAAGGCACGCUGAUAUGUAGGUGAAGCGACUUGCUCGUGGAGCUGAAAUCAGUCGAAGAUACCAGCUGGCUGCAACUGUUUAUUAAAAACACAGCACUGUGCAAACACGAAAGUGGACGUAUACGGUGUGACGCCUGCCCGGUGCCGGAAGGUUAAUUGAUGGGGUUAGCGGUAACGCGAAGCUCUUGAUCGAAGCCCCGGUAAACGGCGGCCGUAACUAUAACGGUCCUAAGGUAGCGAAAUUCCUUGUCGGGUAAGUUCCGACCUGCACGAAUGGCGUAAUGAUGGCCAGGCUGUCUCCACCCGAGACUCAGUGAAAUUGAACUCGCUGUGAAGAUGCAGUGUACCCGCGGCAAGACGGAAAGACCCCGUGAACCUUUACUAUAGCUUGACACUGAACAUUGAGCCUUGAUGUGUAGGAUAGGUGGGAGGCUUUGAAGUGUGGACGCCAGUCUGCAUGGAGCCGACCUUGAAAUACCACCCUUUAAUGUUUGAUGUUCUAACGUGGGCCCCUUACCGGGGUUGCGGACAGUGUCUGGUGGGUAGUUUGACUGGGGCGGUCUCCUCCUAAAGAGUAACGGAGGAGCACGAAGGUUGGCUAAUCCUGGUCGGACAUCAGGAGGUUAGUGCAAUGGCAUAAGCCAGCUUGACUGCGAGCGUGACGGCGCGAGCAGGUGCGAAAGCAGGUCAUAGUGAUCCGGUGGUUCUGAAUGGAAGGGCCAUCGCUCAACGGAUAAAAGGUACUCCGGGGAUAACAGGCUGAUACCGCCCAAGAGUUCAUAUCGACGGCGGUGUUUGGCACCUCGAUGUCGGCUCAUCACAUCCUGGGGCUGAAGUAGGUCCCAAGGGUAUGGCUGUUCGCCAUUUAAAGUGGUACGCGAGCUGGGUUUAGAACGUCGUGAGACAGUUCGGUCCCUAUCUGCCGUGGGCGCUGGAGAACUGAGGGGGGCUGCUCCUAGUACGAGAGGACCGGAGUGGACGCAUCACUGGUGUUCGGGUUGUCAUGCCAAUGGCACUGCCCGGUAGCUAAAUGCGGAAGAGAUAAGUGCUGAAAGCAUCUAAGCACGAAACUUGCCCCGAGAUGAGUUCUCCCUGACUCCUUGAGAGUCCUGAAGGAACGUUGAAGACGACGACGUUGAUAGGCCGGGUGUGUAAGCGCAGCGAUGCGUUGAGCUAACCGGUACUAAUGAACCGUGAGGCUUAACCUU
rnacentral:rRNA from 1 species